GUCUCUCCCGCCAGCCGCGGUGUCCUCUACGCCCUCCCUUUUCAGCGGGCUGAGUUCGCGGUCCUCCGGCGGCCGCCGGCGGCUGACGCAAAGACUCAGAGAUUGAGGAUCAGAUUUCAAGAUGGCGCCAGCGGUUCGACGCCUGCGGCCGCCGGCAAACUCCUCUGGGAGCUGUAGUCCAGGAGGCCGGCUCCUCGCUCUGCGCAUGCGGGGUGGCCAGCGCGUCCCCUCGUUCCCAAGCAAGUCAUCGCCCCUCGCGAGCCUAAAGUGAGGGUCGGCUCGAAGCAGUCACCUGAGAAAGAGUCCAACAGAAACCUCACGGAUGCAGCUGGUUUACCGAGAUUUUGAAGAUAAUGGACAAAAAGCUUUUUCAAGAAUAUAGACACUUGAGACUAGACUGCCGUCAACAAAUCCUCUUUCAAGUAUCAGGUCAGAGGCUAUACUCCUAAACCUGGAGACAUUCAGAUGCCUUCAAUGAAAACUCAUAAUAAACCCCCAAAGUUCUUAUGGAGGAUUAAAUGAGAUGAUUUGGGUACCUUGUGCAUUUAAGUGCUCAGUAAAUAAAGCUGCAAAGAAACCCCUCAUUUUUCUACCUCCUCUCCUGCUCUAGCAGAACUAUGGUUGCCGUGGGUGAUAAAGCCUAUUUCUGAGACACAUUACCAAUGAAGGCUUGUCUGGAAGACACUGACGUUGAAUGAGGAUUUAUAAAUGAGUCUCUAGCUUCAAUUUCAUCAGCUUAAGAAGGGGAUACUGAAAAACUGCUCUAAAAAAAAACACUCU